rnacentral:rRNA from 1 species
AUUGAACGCUGGCGGCAUGCCUUACACAUGCAAGUCGAACGGUAACGGGUCCUUCGGGAUGCCGACGAGUGGCGAACGGGUGAGUAAUAUAUCGGAACGUGCCCAGUAGUGGGGGAUAACUGCUCGAAAGAGCAGCUAAUACCGCAUACGACCUGAGGGUGAAAGGGGGGGAUCGCAAGACCUCUCGCUAUUGGAGCGUCCGAUAUCAGAUUAGCUAGUUGGUGGGGUAAAGGCCUACCAAAGCAACGAUCUGUAGUUGGUCUGAGAGGACGACCAGCCACACUGGGACUGAGACACGGCCCAGACUCCUACGGGAGGCAGCAGUGGGGAAUUUUGGACAAUGGGCGCAAGCCUGAUCCAGCAAUGCCGCGUGCAGGAAGAAGGCCUUCGGGUUGUAAACUGCUUUUGUCAGGGAAGAAAUCUUCUGGGCUAAUACCCCGGGAGGAUGACGGUACCUGAAGAAUAAGCACCGGCUAACUACGUGCCAGCCGCCGCGGUAA